GAAUGUGGGAGCAUUUUGGUUGUGGCAUCUGGUNCCCGUCCCGUCCCCUCUCCCCGUCCCCUCCCCCCUGCACUGAUCACCAGGCUGACUUAGUUGAUCCGGCUGGCUAGGCUGCUGUCCUCCUUUACCACUCCAGUAUCCCUCCCCAAGCUUUGUGCACAGUCAGAGAGGACCACCUUCCCCAACAGAGGACCNGCCUUUGAUCAAGGGUGUACAAGUAGCUGCUCCCCUACUAGGACCUCCAAAUAAGCUCUCCAGAUCACUGGCCUCACAGUGCUCUGGUAUCUGCUUCCCUGACUUUUCCUGCUCCCAACCAAACUGUCAGUCAAU
rnacentral:snRNA from 1 species